GACGAACGCUGGCGGCGUGCUUAACACAUGCAAGUCGAACGGAAAGGCCCUGCUUUUGUGGGGUGCUCGAGUGGCGAACGGGUGAGUAACACGUGAGUAACCUGCCAUUGACUUUGGGAUAACUUCAGGAAACUGGGUCUAAUACCGGAUAGGAGCUCUUGCUGCAGGGUGGGGGUGGGAAAGUUUCGGUGGUUGGGGAUGGACUCGCGGCUUAUCAGCUUGUUGGUGGGGUAGUGGCUUACCAAGGCUUUGACGGGUAGCCGGGCUGAGCGGGUGACCUGCCACAUUGGGACGGAGAUACGGCCCAGCCUCCUCCGGGACGCAGCAGUGGGGAAUAGUGCACAAUGGGCGGAAGCCUGAUGCAGCAACGCAGCGUGGGGGAUGAGGGCCUUCGGGUUGUAAUCCACUUUCGCCUGUGACGAAGCGUGAGUGACGGUAAUGGGUAAAGAAGCACCGGCUAACUCCGUG
rnacentral:rRNA from 1 species